UGGGGAAUAUUGCGCAAUGGGCGAAAGCCUGACGCAGCAACGCCGCGUGAGUGAUGAAGGCCUUCGGGUCGUAAAGCUCUGUCGGAGGGAACGAAUGCUCUUGAGGUUAACAGCCUCGGGAGGUGACGGUACCCUCAAAGGAAGCACCGGCUAACUCUGUGCCAGCAGCCGCGGUAAUACAGAGGGUGCAAGCGUUGUUCGGAAUCAUUGGGCGUAAAGGGCGUGUAGGCGGUAUGUUAAGUCAUGUGUGAAAUCCCUCGGCUCAACCUGGGAAUUGCGCUUGAAACUAGCGGGCUUGAGUGUGGCAGAGGGGGGUGAAUUCCACGUGUAGCAGUGAAAUGCGUAGAGAUGUGGAGGAACACCGAUGGCGAAGGCAGCCCCCUGGGUCAACACUGACGCUCAUGCACGAAAGCGUGGGGAGCAAACAGGAUUAGAUACCCGCGUAGUCCCUGAGCGGGCUGGCAAGGCGCAU
rnacentral:rRNA from 1 species